rnacentral:rRNA from 1 species
GAUGAACGCUGGCGGCAGGCUUAACACAUGCAAGUCGAGCGGGGAAAGGUAGCUUGCUACUUAACCUAGCGGCGGACGGGUGAGUAAUGCUUAGGAAUCUGCCUAUUAGUGGGGGACAACAUCUCGAAAGGGAUGCUAAUACCGCAUACGUCCUACGGGAGAAAGCGGGGGCUCUUCGGACCUCGCGCUAACAGAUGAGCCUAGGUCGGAUUAGCUAGUUGGUGGGGUAAUGGCCCACCAAGGCGACGAUCCGUAACUGGUCUGAGAGGAUGAUCAGUCACACUGGAACUGAGACACGGUCCAGACUCCUACGGGAGGCAGCAGUGGGGAAUAUUGGACAAUGGGCGAAAGCCUGAUCCAGCCAUGCCGCGUGUGUGAAGAAGGUCUUCGGAUUGUAAAGCACUUUAAGUCGGGAGGAAGGGCUGUAGGCUAAUACCUUGCAGUUUUGACGUUACCGACAGAAUAAGCACCGGCUAACUUCGUGCCAGCCGCCGCCGUAA